rnacentral:lncRNA from 1 species
AUGAGGGGAAAUCCAUGGGGAAAUUCAUGGGGAAAAUCAGGGGAAUCAUGGGGAAAAUUCAGGGAGAAAAUACGGGAAAAAUCGGGGGGGAAAUCAGGGGAUAAAUGGGGGAAAAACAGGGAAAAAUCGGGGAAAAAUCCAUGGGAAAAAUCAGGGGGAAACCACAUGGAACACAUGGGAAAAACAGAGAGAAAUCCAUGGGAAAAUCGGGGAAAAUCAGGGAGAAAUCCAUGGGAAAAUCGGGGAAAAUCAGAUAAAAACCAUGGAGAAUCCAUGGGGAAAAAAAGAUGGGAAAUCCAUGGGGAAAUCAGGGAGAAAAUCAGGGAGAAACCAUGGGAAAUGCCUGGGAAUUUGGGAAUUGUUGGGAAUGUUGGGAAUUUGGGAAUUUUUGGGAAUUUAGGAAUCUUUGGAAUGUCAGGAAUAUUGGGAAUUUGGGAAUUGUUGGAAUGUUGGGAAUGUCGGCACCUUCUCCCUCAUGUUCUCGGCGCCGCCCUGAGCCCGCACGGCCCCGGAGCGAGAAUCGAACACGAACCCCGAGGGAUCUGCGGGAAACGGAAACCGGGGACUCACAGAAAUCCCAAAUUCCCAAAUCCCAAUCCCAAAUUCCCCAAAUUCCCCAAAAUCCCAAUCCCAAAUUCCCCCAAAUCCCAGAAAUCCCAAUCCCAAAUUCCCCAAAAUCCCAAAAAUCCCAAUCCCAAAUUCCCCAAAAAUCCCAAUCCUAAAUUCCCCAAAAUCCCAGAAAUCCCAAAUUCCCCAA